rnacentral:snRNA from 1 species
AGCUUUGCGUAGUGGCAGUAUCAUAGCCAAUGAGGUUUACCCGAGGCAUGACUAUUGCUAAUUAAAAUAUUUAACAGCACAAAACUAACUUUGAAGUGCAUUUUCCUAGAACACAAUUUUGCUCUGUAAACAUCUUCAUGGCUGCAUUUCAAUAUAUUAUGUUCCUUUUGCAA